GAUGAACGCUGGCGGCGUGCCUGAUACAUGCAAGUCGAGCGAACAGACGAGGAGCUUGCUCCUCUGACGUUAGCGGCGGACGGGUGAGUAACACGUGGAUAACCUACCUAUAAGACUGGGAUAACUUCGGGAAACCGGAGCUAAUACCGGAUAAUAUAUUGAACCGCAUGGUUCAAUAGUGAAAGACGGUUUUGCUGUCACUUAUAGAUGGAUCCGCGCCGCAUUAGCUAGUUGGUAAGGUAACGGCUUACCAAGGCAACGAUGCGUAGCCGACCUGAGAGGGUGAUCGGCCACACUGGAACUGAGACACGGUCCAGACUCCUACGGGAGGCAGCAGUAGGGAAUCUUCCGCAAUGGGCGAAAGCCUGACGGAGCAACGCCGCGUGAGUGAUGAAGGUCUUCGGAUCGUAAAACUCUGUUAUUAGGGGAGAACAAAUGUGUAAGUAACUAUGCACGUCUUGACGGUACCUAAUCAGAAAACCACGGCUAACUACGU
rnacentral:rRNA from 1 species